GAAGUCGUGAGGAAAAACGCCUCACGGGGUGGAAACAAGGUCACACUCCCGAGAGACGUUUUGGA
rfam:Marine metagenome 1096626715797, whole genome shotgun sequence.